AUCAGGAUGUUGCUGGUUAUACAGCUGCUUCUCUUUGUGUUUGUCGGUGAUAGUAUUGAACAGGCAAUAACUCCGCUGAAUCCAGAAGUCAUUGCUGUUGAGGGAACAGACAUCACUCUCUCCUGUAACUACAAGGGCAACAUUAACAAUCUGCAAUGGUACCGUCAAUACUCUGGAUCUAGACCAGAAUGUCUUCUUCUGAUCCUCGAAGGCAGCAUGUUUGUACAGAAUACAUCCAUAACAACUGCCAGACACACUGUUAAACUGAAAGAUAAGACCCGUGUGGAUCUGGAGAUCUCCCCUGCUGAAGUGACAGACUCUGCUCUGUACUACUGUGCCCUGGAGCCCACUGUGACAGGAAAACCAGAAGCACUGUACAAAAACCUUAAGUCAAUUGAGUAAUCCUACUCUAGUCAAUC